GAUGAACGCUAGCGGCAGGCUUAAUACAUGCAAGUCGAGGGGCAGCAUGAUUGUAGCAAUACAAUUGAUGGCGACCGGCAAACGGGUGCGGAACACGUACACAACCUUCCAACAAGUGGGGGAUAGCCCAGAGAAAUUUGGAUUAAUACCCCGUAACAUAGCGAUGUGGCAUCACAUUGCUAUUAUAGAUUUUUCGCUUGUUGAUGGGUGUGCGGCUGAUUAGAUUGUUGGCGGGGUAACGGCCCACCAAGUCUACGAUCAGUAGCUGAUGUGAAAGCAUGAUCAGCCACACGGGCACUGAGACACGGGCCCGACUCCUACGGGAGGCAGCAGUAAGGAAUAUUGGACAAUGGACGCAAGUCUGAUCCAGCCAUGCCGCGUGAAGGAUUAAGGUCCUCUGGAUUGUAAACUUCUUUUAUAAGGGACGAAAAAAGGCUUUUCUAAGUCGUCUGACGGUACCUUAUGAAUAAGCACCGGCUAACUCCGUGCCAGCCGCCGCCGUAAAAC
rnacentral:rRNA from 1 species